UAAAGCUCGAGCUUUGUAAAUGAAAAAUAAAAAUAAAGCCAUCGUUUACAAUCUAUUCGCUUCUCCAUAAAAACGCGUUUCGCCCAACACAGUUUACAAUAUGCCGAUAUAAUAUAUCCGAAUGUCCCGUUGAAAAAUCGCCGGCACGCAUUCGAAUAAUUUUUGAAAAACUACCAUCUUUGCCCGUUCGUACCGCACUAACCCCAUUAAAACACAUUGUUGUUAGUUCACUUAUCGGUGUUACACAUUGGAUAGAUGAAAAACAAAUGUUAAUUGUAAUUCCUGUACAAUUCGUAAAUAUCCCAGACACAACAUUAUAAAUUAAAAACCAUUAAGAAAAUACAAAUUGACGCCGUUUGCGCCGGGUUGCUGCGGUAUGCCCUCGGAAAAACUGACGGGAACAACACUGGCGUUUACAAUUAUUCGCCUGCAGUCGCGUGGAAAAGUGGUCUCGUCUAACUUCUUCCGACUUCUAUAUAUUAUUAUAGUCUAAUCUCUUCGGACGCGACGUUUUUCGCGAGAGACGCCGAAAGAGCGUACAAUCUUUUUCCGUUCGCCGGGGCGGGGCACGUGGAUAUAGCAUGCGGGGUCGUGCUAUACCGCGGAGUCCCGGGCCUAAAAUAAUAGUACUCCGGAGUUUAAAAUUAGCACCUCUUCCCCCCUUCAAAAAAAAAAAAAAAACAAACAACAAACCCAACGAGUAUUUUCGUAGUGGCGACCGAUAACAUACGUCGCCGGCGUAUUUCGGGGUCUGUAGGCUCGACGGAGAAAUCGGAUUUUCACCUAACCGAGUGUGACGAAACGUCAGAGCCGCGGCCGUUCCACGGCGUCCCCCGUUAACGUGACACGCUCGACGCGGGUACACGAGACCCGUGUUUUUCUCGUCCCGG